GGGUCGUUAGCUCAGUCGGUAGAGCAGUUGACUCUUAAUCAAUUGGUCGCUGGUUCGAAUCCAGCACGACCCACCA
rnacentral:tRNA from 2 species